AUUGAACGCUGGCGGCAUGCCUUACACAUGCAAGUCGAACGGCAGCACGGGAGCAAUCCUGGUGGCGAGUGGCGAACGGGUGAGUAAUACAUCGGAACGUGCCCAGUAGUGGGGGAUAACCCGGCGAAAGCCGGACUAAUACCGCAUACGACCUACGGGUGAAAGCAGGGGAUCGCAAGACCUUGCGCUAUUGGAGCGGUCGAUGUCAGAUUAGCUAGUUGGUAGGGAAAAGCCUACCAAGGCGACGAUCUGUAGCUGGUCUGAGAGGACGACCAGCCACACUGGGACUGAGACACGGCCCAGACUCCUACGGGAGGCAGCAGUGGGGAAUUUUGGACAAUGGCGCAAGCCUGAUCCAGCCAUGCCGCGUGCGGGAAGAAGGCCUCGG
rnacentral:rRNA from 1 species